CUUUUCCCCAGUCCUAAACUUGCAAUGCUUGCCUGGUUUUUAUAUGUCUGAAAGUUGUGUCAGGAAAUGUAAUUUACCUUUUAAUUUUUUUUCUUUGCUCAGAGGAGCAGGACAAAGCAGUACAAAUAAAAAUGUGAUACAGAAUAUUAAGAUGAAGCUAAAUUAAUUAUGCAAAAUACAAUUCAGCGGCUUAGGAGGCAUUUUUUUUUUUCUUACUGAAUGUAUGGGAACUACUGAGUCACAGACUGAACCACUGAUUGAUCACCUGAGGCAAGGGCUGAGUCAGCCCUGGGAGCACAGGUGAAGGCAAUUCACCUGUUUGACCAGAAGGGGUGGAGCCUAGCUGCACCUCUACUAGAUCUGUUUAAAGGCUGACUGAAGCUGCAGAAGGAUCUCUUUCUGGAGAUUCUCCCUUUGGAGUCUUCUACUGUGAGCCUAGGACACGGCUGAAAUGGGACAGAGUUUAUUGAUGGGCUUUCCUUCUGGAUUCCAUUGGCUUGAAGAGGUGGGGAUCUGUAAAGGAAGAAGAACUGAAGUCCAGAACAAUCAUCACUGGGCAUUUCUCAAACACAAGGCUUUCACCUCUGUAUCCGUAUGUAUAUAUUUAUAGAAGCAGCAUUGAAAAAGAAAAGCUUUUUCAAUGCUGCUUAUUUUGAACUUAGAUCUGAUGUACUUUGGUUUAGAUUCUAGAUGGGAACUUUUAUUGAUCAAAU
rnacentral:lncRNA from 1 species